GCGGGCUUUGAGGCUUGAUAGUCAGGUCCUACUUCCGGUUCCUCUCUCUGGUUCCGGAAAGCUGAAGCAAUGCGGACUGGCUGCGAAUUCCGCUGUGAAUUCCACCCAGAUGUACUCCAGGAUGGACUUCUCUCUCCCUUCAAUUGUAUCUGGUUGCAGCAACAAGGCCUCAGUUUACACUUCAUCGGCCACAACUGAGUGAUAAUG
rnacentral:lncRNA from 1 species